rnacentral:rRNA from 1 species
AGCUGCGGGAAACUGCAGGUAAUACCGGAUAAUGUCUUCGGACCAAAGGUGUGAUUCCGUCUGAGGAGGGGCCUGCAUCCUAUUAGCUUGUUGGUGAGGUAAUGGCUCACCAAGGCAACGAUGGGUAGCGGGUGUGAGAGCAUGACCCGCGUCAUUGGGACUGAGACACUGCCCAGACAUCUACGGAUGGCUGCAGUCGAGAAUCUUCGGCAAUGGGCGAAAGCCUGACCGAGCGACGCCGCGUGCGGGAUGAAGGCCCUCGGGUUGUAAACCGCUGUCGUUGGGGAGGAAAUGCAGGAGGGCUAUCCCUCUUGUUUGACCGAUCCAAGGAGGAAGUACGG